CCGGUAUAGCUCAGUUAGUAGAGCAGGGGACUGAAAAUCCUCGUAUUACCGGUUCAAAUCUGGUAUGAA
rnacentral:tRNA from 1 species